AUUGAACGCUGGCGGCAGGCCUAACACAUGCAAGUCGAGCGAGCGGCGGACGGGUGAGUAAUGCCUGGGAAUUGCCCAGUCGAGGGGGAUAACAGUUGGAGACGACUGCUAAUACCGCAUACGAUUGGAUUGCCCAGGUGGGAUUCGCUAGUUGGUGAGGUAAUGGCUCACCAAGGCGACGAUCCCUAGCUGGUCUGAGAGGAUGAGAAGCAGCACGGGAACUGAGACACGGUCCAGACGCCUACGGGAGGACGCAGUGGGGAAGAUUGGAAAAUGGGGGAAACCCUGAUGCAGCCAUGCCGCGUGUGUGAAGAAGGCCUUAGGGUUGUAAAGCUCUUUCAGCGAGGAGGCGGUACUCGCAGAAGAAGCACCGGCUAACUACGUGCCAGCAGCCGCGGUAAUAC
rnacentral:rRNA from 1 species